rnacentral:lncRNA from 10 species
CAACAACCAAACUUGCACCUGCGCCAUUCUCUUAAAAACAGGGCAGCGGCUGUGAGCGCUGGGCCGGAGCAGAUCUCCUGUUCCCUAGCUGUGCUUGUGAAAUUCAUACCUACCAAGAGGUGCAGGGGGUGUAUCCAGGUUGCAGAAACCAAGUCACAGAACAAGUGUGGGGUGUCUUCCUGCAGCAUCUCUUCACCACGUGGUUCUUUGGGGAACGAGCUAAGUAACUUAACUGAGAACUUCAAACUAUACAUUUAUAUUAAAACAAUCACAGAUCUACUAUACGAUAGAAUACAAAAUCAUCAUACGAUUUAAAAACAAAAGCUAAGAUUUCGAAUGCAUUUUGUGACUAUAGAGGGUGGCUUUGGGCCAAUACCUGCUCGUUCUUAUCCAAGCAUAAGCAGUUUCUUCUGAUAUUUCAGUGGAAGUUUUUGGGAGUGCUACCUUAGAGCUUAUUCUUUCUCCUUCAUGUGGUUCAAAUUUAAGUUUCAGGACAUUAUAUUUUCAGAUUCAUCCUCUCCCCACCCGCCUCCGCCCCCCACCACAUAGACAGAUUUGGGACCACCUGUUCACUCCACAGCCAGGAGGAUGGAAAGAUUCCUCGUGCCAGAUUCUCCUUCAUUCACGUAGUCUGCAACAAUGCCCUCUCCAACGUUAGAGGAGGAGAAAACCCUCCCUUGGCUCCAUUUCCAAGUUCUGUGCUUGGACAGAGUGCAGUCUGUACAAAGAUGAGCUCAGCUGGGGCCAGCUGGAGUGGAGACCGUGAGACCUGUUCUUCUAGGGGAGCAGCCUAGGAGUCCCCACCAUGCUCACAAAUCCUGCCUGAUCCCAGACCUGCCCUGUGCCCAACCAUGCUGCAGUGGAGAUCCUUGGCCACAUUUCUUGAGCUGGUGCUGCAUGAACACGUAGCAGAGUGAGAACUCUCCCUCGGCCUCAGACAUGGGCAAUCCACCUCUUCUACCGGGAUAUCUGUCAAUAGAUGAUUAUCAUCGUUCCCACUCCACCGCAUCUCUUGGUUGCUCUUCUUUUCUUCUGUCUUUGAGAAUGGAGAAAGAAGGAUGAGUAAAACCUGGACUUUAAAGAAAAUAAUGAAGCAAGUUGUUAUUUUGCUUAUUGCCCAGUUGGUAGAGUUAUUGACUCACUAAAAGAUUAUUACAGCAGAUAAAAUCUG